AGGUGACCAAUUAGCGAA
rnacentral:snRNA from 1 species